UUAAAAAAGGCAAAAUUCUCAAGCCCCUUUCUUCAGAUGAUUCUCUUCAGCCGCAUCUCCACUUCAGCCCUCUCCCUAAACGCAAAAUCCUUCCGAUUCUCUUCAGUCGCAUCUCCUCUUCAGACGACGAUGAGAACUCACCCUAACCACCUCCUCUUCAGACGAUUCGACGGUGGUCUGUGGUCUCUCUUCUCCCAUGAUAUUGCUCAAUCCUUCUUAUUCUUCUUUCCCAGUCAUACAAACCCAGCCGCACCUCUGGCUGUUCUCCAACCCUCUCUCUGUCCAAGCUUCGAUCAACGACGUCCCCCUCUCUUCGAGCUUCGAUAGACGACGCUCCUCUCUCUCUCUCUCUCCGAGCUUCAAUCAGUGGCACCCCUCUUGCCAAAAAUCCUAAAAUCGCCUCUUGUCCCUCAUCCCUCCAACCACCCUUCUCUCUCCCUCUGUUCAUCUUUCUUUCGGACAACCAUCGACGAGCCUAUCUCUCCGAUCUCAAAUUGAGAGAAUUAAAAUAAAGAAAACUGAGUUUGGGUUUGAGGAAGAAGAAGAAGAGUAAGCGGCAGCAGUAGCAGCAGCAACCAUGAAUAUAAUGGAAACAUCAAUAAUACAUCAUGUAUGAAUUGUGCUACUUAGUCUAUUGUUUCUUGCUGAAUUCAAUUGGUGUCACCAUGUGGCUUACUUCGUUUUCCUGAUUUAUUUGUAUAUAGUACUGUUUUCAUUCUUUAAAAAUUUUUGGUUUUUCUUUACAAGUUUUGUAUUAUUAAAUUGAAAAAGUAAAGUACUGUACUCUCUAUUGUAGAAGGAAUAUUGUGCGAACGCAUAUGUUUAUCUUUUAAUUUGUUAAACUUCACUUUUCAAGGGUAUUUUUUUUCUCUAGCAAAUGAGUAAAUAUAUGUAUGUUUGAACUGGGUUUGGUCUAAACUAGUGUUUCUUUUUUAGUCUAAAUAGAGAGCUUUAAAUGAUAGUUUGAUUUGCAUUUUUAAUAGGUUCAUGAGCAUUGUGUUAUGCAAUUGAAGAAAAAAGUGAAGUUUUAAGAAAGAAAACAAAGUUAACGAAAAAGGGUAAGUUUUUAUUUAUGAAUUUAUAUUUCAUAAUGAUUUUGCUUAUUUUUUAUUGAUGAAUUUAUUUUUCUUUGGCAUAUCCAAAUUAGUGAAUCAUCAAUGCAAUUAAAAUUGAAUGUAAAACUCAUAUUGGCAAGUUAAAGGGGAUGACUUUGCGGUUGUACUAGUUUUAUCUGCAACCACAACUUUGUUGAAACUUGCUAUUUCUUUUCAUCUGUACUAAUCUGUGAUUUUAAAAGAUGUGUCUUGUAUAAUAGGAUUAGCUGUUGACAUAAAUGGUUGCUGAUAUCCUUUCUUGGAUGAUAAAAUCCUGCAAAUUGUAAUUUUUUAUUUGGAAAAAAGUGAACAGUCUGUGAUAUAUUACAUUUAUAAAUGGACAACUCUACCUCAAAGUUGCUUUGAAACUCAAACUUGUUUUUUUAUUAAUUUUGGUUGGACUAGGAAUAGUAUUUUUUUGUAUUAAAAUAAACAUUGACUAUCUUUGAAAUUUGUCAUAAUUAAAUAUGACAUAGAAGUAUACACUUUUUCUAUGAUUUAGGGUAAUUAGGCAUGAGGUUCUUACAUUAAUUUUCGAGUCGUUUAGUCUUUUGUCUAUUUACCAAUUUAUUUUUCAGCUAAGUUUUUGUGUUUUCUAAUUUGUACUAAAUGAACUUCAUGAUAUGUGCUAACCCUAUAGGUAUUCAUUAAGUUGCUUUUUUGAAAAAAUUGAGGUUUGUUUCUUUCUUCACAACAUGAAGUCAUUGAUACUAGUACUUAUAGUUUUUGUUCUAAUGAUGUACUUAACACACCUUAUGUUCAUUUGUAGUCUAAGGGAGAAUGCACAAAAUCAAGGUAAUGCAAAGUAGAGAAUUAUUUAUUUAGGAAUGUGUUGUGAUCACUUGAGUAAUUAGAGUCAAGCAUUUUACAAUUUGAAUUCUUAGGCCAAAAAGAUGUGUUUCCUCUACAAUAAGUUACCAUAUUUUUUCUGCCUGUUUGUUGUUGUGUUGGUAUACUGUUUGAUAAGCCAAUUCUCAUCUUUUGAUAACAUUUUCUUUAAUUAUGUAUUUAAAAAACUAAUUUUUUUAUACACAUAAAAUAAAGACAAAACUAAUUUUGUGCUAUAGUCCCACAAUAAUAACUAUAGGAUGCUAAUGUUGUUGUUACAUAUUGUUAUUGCAGCCAUAAGAAAACAAUUUUGAAUUUAUAUUAUUUGAAUCACUUGUUGGACCAAUAGUGAGUGGAAAAGGGGAGACUUUUCUACUAAAUGAAAUGGUUUUGUUUUGGAAAAGAGGGGACUAGGGAAGAGAGAAGCUUCCAGCAUGAUUGAAGAGAAUUCAAACUAUUGGGAAUUAAAUGCAAAGUUUAAAAACUUAAGAACAUGAAAACCUUCCCUCGCACCAGGAUACAUUUGUUCGUUCUUUUCACUAGCUUGCUGAAAAGUUGUAAGUAGUAUAGUGUCUUAUUUUAUGUGUACAAAGAAUUCUUAAGUUUUCUAUAUUUUCAAAUUAUAGAUUAAAGGUUACUACUUUUGUUAUAAUACAUGAGUAACAAGUUUUAUGAUUAUUGUUAUCUUUUGCAUAUGUAAUUAGUUUAUAUUUAGUUUACGUACAAUGGAAUUUAAGUUUUAUGAUCGAUUCUAUUAACAAUUUUGGUAUUGUGUGAUUAGUUAAUAGAAUCGAUUACUAAUUUUAUGUAAGUUUUACAAAUGUUAUUUUAACUUUUUUUGUAUUAUGUA